ACAUGGGUCUGCAGCUACUGAGCUGACAGCAAGGACUAAAAUGGGAGCACUGUAGAGGAAAAAAUUUUCAGCCUGACCAAUAUGGAGAAACCCCAUCUCUACUAAAAAUACAGAAUUAGAGGAGAGAAGGUUCCAAGAUGGCCAAAUAGGAACAGCUCCAGUCUACAGCUCCCAGCGUGAGCAACGCAGAAGACGGGUGACUUCUGCACUUCCAACUGAGGAUAUAUGAUUGUGUGGCCUGACAAUCUCAGAAAGUAAAAGCAAAGAAAUUGAAAGACAUGGAAAGAACUAGGCCGGGACCAGCACUGGGCCUUAAUAACCAGUUCACUGAGAUGUUGCCAGGAUGAAGAUGAGAACACAGUGUCAACUCUCUGAGA
rnacentral:antisense_RNA from 1 species